rnacentral:rRNA from 1 species
AAUCUUCCGCAAUGGACGAAAGUCUGACGGAGCAACGCAGCGUGAGUGAUGAAGGGUUUCGGCUCGUAAAACUCUGUUGUUAAGGAAGAACACUUGAGGUAGUAACUGGCCUUGAGAGGACGGUACUUAACCAGAAAGCCACGGCUAAUUACGUGCCAGCAGCCUCGGUAAUGCGUAGGGGGCGAGCGUUAACCGGAAUUACUGGGCGUAAAGGGUGCGUAGGCGGCCUUGUAAGUCAGAUGUGAAAGGCUACGGCUUAACCGGGGAGGGUCAUUGGAAACUGUUUUACUUGAGUACAGAAGAGGAGAGUGGAAUUCCAUGUGUAGCGGUGAAAUGCGCAGAGAUAUGGAGGAACACCAGUGGCGAAGGCGGCUCUCUGGUCUGUUACUGACGCUGAGGUGCGAAAGCGUGGGGAUCAAAC